GACGAACGCUGGCGGCGUGCCUAAUACAUGCAAGUCGAGCGAAUCGAUGGGAGCUUGCUCCCUGAGAUUAGCGGCGGACGGGUGAGUAACACGUGGGUAACCUGCCUGUAAGACUGGGGUAACUUCGGGAAACCGGAGCUAAUACCGGAUACGUUCUUUUCUCGCAUGAGGAGAGAUGGAAAGAUGGUUUCGGCUAUCACUUACAGAUGGACCCGCGGCGCAUUAGCUAGUUGGUGAGGUAACGGCUCACCAAGGCGACGAUGCGUAGCCGACCUGAGAGGGUGAUCGGCCACACUGGGACUGAGACACGGCCCAGACUCCUACGGGAGGCAGCAGUAGGGAAUCUUCCGCAAUGGACGAAAGUCUGACGGAGCAACGCCGCGUGAGCGAAGAAGGCCUUCGGGUCGUAAAGCUCUGUUGUUAGGGAAGAACAAGUACAAGAGUAACUGCUUGUACCUUGACGGUACCUAACCAGAAAGCCACGGCUAACUACGUGCCAGCAGCCGCCGUAACAC
rnacentral:rRNA from 1 species